GGCGGCAGCAGCAGCAGUGCGGUCCCGGAUCCUGCAGGUGGUAGAAGAUGAGACCCUAGGAAGACACGUUCCCAGAGUCAGUUCUCAAGUGCCAACACACCCUCCACUCUUCUAGGCUACGAUUUUAACCGCACAGAAAGAAGCCAGCCCAAGGUUUCUUCUAAAGUAAACUCCACAUGGUGUCCAGCAUCUUCCUUCUCUUCAUCAUCAGUGCCAACUGUAAAGCUCUUCAUUGAUGGGAAAUUCGUUGAAUCCAAAAGUGACAAAUGGAUUGACAUCCACAACCCAGCCACCAAUGAGGUUGUUGGUCGGGUUCCUCAGUCCACCAAAGCUGAAAUGGAGGCAGCCGUAGCCGCCUGCAAACGUGCUUUCCCUGCGUGGGCAGACACAUCUAUUUUAAGCCGGCAGCAGGUCC
rnacentral:lncRNA from 1 species